rnacentral:ncRNA from 2 species
CGCACCGCAAUGGGAGAGACCGGCCGGGCAACGUUCCGGCGGGCGCCGAAGGAGCAAUUCGCCCCGAACACUCUCAGGCACAUGGACCGUUGCGGAUUG